UACGUAGGGUACUAGCGUUGUCCGGAAUUAUUGGGCGUAAAGAGCUCGUAGGCGGUUGGUCGCGUCUGCUGUGGAAUCACACUGCUUAACGGUGUGCGUGCAGUGGGUACGGGCAGGCUGGAGUGCAGUAGGGGAGACUGGAAUUCCUGGUGUAGCGGUGAAAUGCGCAGAUAUCAGGAGGAACACCGAUGGCGAAGGCAGGUCUCUGGGCUGUUACUGACGCUGAGGAGCGAAAGCAUGGGGAGCGAACAGG
rnacentral:rRNA from 1 species